rnacentral:rRNA from 1 species
UACAGAGGUCUCAAGCGUUGUUCGGAUUCAUUGGGCGUAAAGGGUGCGUAGGUGGCGCUGUAAGUCAGGUGUGAAAUUUCGGAGCUUAACUCCGAAACUGCAUUUGAUACUGCGGUGCUUGAGGACUGGAGAGGCGACUGGAAUUCACGGUGUAGCAGUGAAAUGCGUAGAGAUCGUGAGGAACACCGGUGGCGAAGGCGGUUCUCUGGGCCUUACCUGACGCUGAGGAGCGAAAGCGUGGGGAGCGAACAGG